rnacentral:lncRNA from 1 species
GGAAGUCGAAAUAGAUUCCAAACUCACCAGCUUGGCCUUGCACUGCACCCGUUUGCUAGCACUGCCACGUAGUCGUGGCACAUACGUAGCAGAAAACAAGUUGCUCACUCGAGACCGGUUUUUCAGCAGACUACUGGCUACUGGAGUUGCAAGGACGGUCUGCAUGACAGUUGAUGUGGCCAUCACUUAGAACAAUGUUUAUCUGUGAAAGCUAUUCUAAUGCUAGAGGCAACGUUCGUAAGGGAUAUCAUACCAGUGAGUUGAAGCUCGAGCUAUUUGCUUUGUAAUGAUAAUUAAUGUAUCUGACAAAGGUCUGGUAGGCUGUUAUAUAGCCGAUGGGGCAAGCGAGGAGAGGGCAUUUUGCUUCCACGUCAUCUAUAUCUAAUUAAAAAGCUGAUUGGAUCACGUGGGUUCGGUUGUCCUCACAUGGUCAAUUGGGUUACGUGGCCUCCUCACAGUCACUAGUGGAUCCCCACCCCGUUUAAGAACCUGAGGCCAAUGUUGUUCUAGGUUUUCCAGCUGAGCAGCGACCACGGCAUAGUAAUCGAACUGGGCUCAGCCACGAUUUUACCGCAUUAAUUUUACACGUUCCAAAUAACACAGUUAAAUGGAAUAUAUAAUUUGUCGACAUGAUUCUUCUCUAAUGAUAUUUUAGAAGGUGAUUGAUGAUAGUUUUUGUCUUUUCACUCCUACUUCUUAUCCUAAUCUUUUCUUUGUCAACUGAGCUAAUUUCAUUCUCAUAUUUUUAUCUUUGUCUCUUUCAAUAUAUUGAAAAGUUUUUCUUUUUCUCCUCAAUUAUCUAAUAUAUUACAAAGCUUUUCUUUUCUUCUAGUUGCCUAUUAAUUUCUCACAAAAACAUUUAAAGGCAUCUUCGGAUAUUUGCUGGGAUGACACAACAUCAUUCCAAUAUCCUUUCGAAUACAAGCUAAAUAAUAUUUGAAAUGGUAAAUAUCUCAACUGAAAAUUUUCAAAUAAUAAUUGCAUUGAACUUUUCUUGAAUUCUUAUUAAUAUCUAUAUCAUGUUGCCAUCUUACAUCAAGUCUAUUGCCAUUAAUAGUUUUUUUAGAUGCCUUGUAUCUUACAAUUCAAGAAUCAAUUCAAAUCAAUUCUAAAAUUAAAAUCUCAAACAUUUACUUUUACUUCACAUUGCAACUCAAUAAGAAACUUGAUAAAAAGCAUGUGCAACCCUCAAUUUCUUUAUUAUUUUUACUUUGAUUCCUCUAUUUUUUGGAUAGAUCAACUCAUUUACUUUACUAUUUACAAGAAAUGAGUCCUUUUCAAUUUUAACAGGUCAUUUAAUAUUAAUUACUCUAUUAUUUAAUGUUAAUUUACAACUUGUAUUUUAUAGAUUUGUCAGUUAAAACAGAGAAAUACCAAAUUUUUAUUCACAUAUUUCUCCAAGUAUUUGAAUUGAUUAUAGAUUUAUUUCCCAUUGAAACUUUAAAGAGAGAAAAAAAAUUAGAGAACACAAAAGAAUGCAUCUUAUGUUUAAUCAAAACACAAAACUCAAUAGAGCAAGAACAAAGAGAGAAGUGACAUUAACAUUUAAAAUAAAUAAAUAAAUAAAUAUUUUGAUUGUUAUUUUGAAGGCAUUUCAUUGUCGUUGCAAGGGAGAACCCGAUUUCUUCAGAAGGCUACAAGAUAGCAUCUUUAUAAUGAUGCAUUAAAGAAAAUUAUUCAAUUAUUAAUUAAUUAUAUGUUUCAAAUUUAAGAUGAUAACUUUGAAUCUAAUUACAUUUUUAUGUGACCUUCUACCUAAUUUCUUUCCCCUUAUGGAUUCUAAAUAUAAGACAAGCCUAGACUAUUCGUUGUAAUCAAUUGACCACUUCACAAAGUUACGACAAAAUCCAAAACAAUUUAUGCUUUCUAUUGUUUUAGUUUUUUUAUAUUUUCAUAUUAAAAAACUUAUUAUUAUUUGAAAUGUCAUCAAUGGAUGAUUUUACUCAAUAAUAUUUUUAAAAUAAUUUUUAAAUGCAAUGUAAUCACAUUAUCAAAAGGAAGAUAAAUGUGUAAUUGGGAUAAUGAACUUAUAAUUCAGAUGAAAAAUUGUUAUAUCUAGUAAUUAUUUAAAUUGUUUAAAUAUUUUUAAACAUUAUUACUUCAGGAUGAUCAGGGUGAUUUCCCCCUUUUUAAAUCAAAUAACAACAAAUUGAAAAUUUUUAAUUAUUGCUUUAGUUUUUUCUAUAUUUUCAUAUUAAAAAACUUAAUAUUAUUUGAAAUGUCAUCAAUUGAUGAUUUUACGUCUUCAAUUAUAUUUUAAAAAUAAUUUUUAAAUGCAAUGUAGUCACAUUAUCAAAAGGAAGAUAAAUGAGUAAUUGGGAUAAUGAACUUAUAAGUCAGAUGAAAAUUUGUUAUAUCUAAUAAUUAUUUAAAUUGGUUGGAUGAUUUAAAAAAUUUGUAAAACCAUUGUUGUAUUGGCAUAUAAUUAUGUUCAUAGAGACAAAUUUAGAAUUUGUUAAUAAAAAAAACCAAAAUGCAUAGUCUUGUUGUCGGGUGGCUAUUACAUAAAAAUAACUUUAAAAAUAAAGUACAUUCAAGGAUGAUUUUGUAAACAUCUCAAACUUUGAGGAGCCAGUGCCACCCUUAGCCUCCCUCUAGAAUCAUCUCUACAUGUGCAAGUGUUUGUUAGGCCUUUUGGUACAUUAUAUAACAUGUAUUUUAUAGGAUGCCUUGGUAUAAUUGCUUUUAUCCUUGCCCUGUGAUUAUCAUUUGGAAACCUGAAAACCAUUGCUAUAUUGGUAUGCUAUCUAUUUUGAUUCUAGCCAAAUAAAUGAAUUUUUUUUCUUGUAGAUACCCUUUUCUUGGUAGAAUAUUACAUUUGCUGCCUCAUUAUUUCAUCAUCAAAUGCAAUAUCAAUUUUAACUUUUUUCUCUUUUUAACUAAUUUGAUUAAGUCUCUAGUCUUUAGAUUAUAUAAUGUCAACAAAAUUGAAUGUCAUAUCUCGCUAAACAACAUUGAAUCAUGAUUGCCAAAUUCUUUCAAAAAACAACAUGUUUUAUGAUCCAAAUCACCCAUUAUAGAUUAUGGUAUAUUUAUGUAUCGAAUCGUUGUAUGAUAUAGGGUCGGGAUCUAGAAAGACAAUGAUCCAUAUCACCCAUUAUAGAUUAUGAUAUAUUUAUGUAUUGAAUCGUUGUGAUAUGAAACCUGGAUCUAGAAAGACAAUGACCCAUAUUUUUCAAAAUAAGAAAACAAGUGAAAAAAAAAUUAAAAAAGAAAAUAGUAGUGGUAGUAUUAAACAUUAAAUAUCGAGAAUGAUACAAAACACAAAAUUAAGUGAUGGUGAUAGCUAAAAGUUAGACCCCGUUUGGGAACACGGUGCAAACCGUGUUUCCUUAAAUUUUAAAUUUUUUAUUUUGUCUAAAAUGAUUUUUUAUAUAUAUUUUUAAAUUAUUUGAUGUACUAAUGUCAAAAAUAAUUUUUAAAAAUAAAAAACUUUAUUUAAAUGCAUUUCUAAACGAAAAGUACUUUGAACCGUCAUCACUAUCAUAAUCUCAAAUAUACCCUUAAAGAGUUAAGGCAGUAUACUAAUGUUAGAAAAGAAAGCUAGACAAUAUACUAAGUUAGAGACUUGCUAUGUUGAAAUUUAAUGUUGGGCUAUAUGUUUUCUAGACCAAUACAUUAUAAUUAUAUCUACUUCAUGUUUUAAAAAUUUAGGUAACAUGCUCUUUUUAGUGGUGUCACACCUGGAUAUCGCGACGACCGAUUAAAAAUCAUCACUCGAUUGAAAUAAAAAACACAUAUCAAGCAUUUUGUUCUUUUUAGGGAAAAAAGUCUUGUUCUAGAAGAUACCACCUAGUAUUAUAGUCAUUAGGAACCCUAACUGGUCAACAAAGAUUCUAUAGUACGGGACUGGUUACCAAAAAAAAAAAGACGUUAUCACCCCUUAAGAGUCUUAUCUGAAGCAAGUUGUAUUGCUGAUUUUGUUUAAAAUUGCUAAGAGUUUGUUCUCUUUUUCCUCUUUUAUUCUUCCUUUCAUGUUCCUGACCCUGACGUCAGUGAAUAAUUCCUACGAACAUUUUCAACUCUGGUGUUGGUAAAUAUCGUGCAAAUCCAAAAAAUACGAUACUCCUGACUCUAGCGUCAAUAAAUAAUUUCGCAAAAAAUGAACUUGAAGAAGAAAUUUUCUAUGUCAUUUUUUUCUUAUUUAUCCUUUACUAUUAUCCACCCUUUUUAGAUGAAAAAAAAAAUUGCGCGACAUAUUUGCAUUUAACAAUAAUAAUCCACAGAUUGAGCACAUAGCUAAAAAAAUACAAAUACAAAGGAAAACAAAUAAAACAAAGUGUGAGGGGCCCACAAAUAAAUCAACGAAGACCUCCAAAUAUUUUUGAAAUUUUAUGUUUCAUUUGGCCAAAUAUCAAAUUAGAAUGGGUAUAAAAAUUAUGGUCAAGGCAUAAGAGUGUGUUUGGCAAAACAUACCCUUAACAAAUACAAUUUGGGCCAGCUGGGCCACAAGCCCAGACCCGGCCAACUUUUCCUUUUUAACUUUUUUUUGGGCUGGGUCUAGCCCAACCAUCGAGGCUGAUCUAAACCCAGCGGCCCGGCCCAGUUACUGGUUCAGACCAGUAACCCGACUGGUUUAAUCCUUAGCUGCAAGCGUGCGAGGGCUAUUCACGCCUCACGCACGCUACAGAUCCUAGGUAAUUAAAUAGCAAAAUGAACAGUCUUAUGAAUUAAAAUGAUAGCGGGGAAAGACAGAAGACUUACCUGGUUUGCAGAGAAUUCGCGUGAGAUUGCAGAUGCUGGACGAAGCUCCCGUCUUCAAGUUCUCUCCCGUUUCUUGUUCUUUCCUGCUCUCACUCUCUCGUCUCUUCUGUUUCUCUUUUGUUUUUGUUUUUUUUCCUCUUCUGGAUACUCUCCUUUUCUUUUCUUCCCCCUGUUCUCUCCCGUUUUUCUCCCACUGUUUUCUGCGUUUUUUCAUCUCUGUUUCCCUCCUCCCCUUCUGGCUUCUCCUUUCCCCUUUUUAUAGAGCCAGACCAUGAGAGGGAUUCUUAUCCUUAUCUUCUCUAGGAUCGUCAUCCUGUGUAGAGUGAAUCGGCUCGGUGUUCGGAUGGAACGGAAACACCAACAGUCCUGCCAUUGUUGGACUGUUGGUGGUGCUUAUCCUUGCGUCAGGGGAGAAUUUUGAGGGUGAGGGAGACCAAAACAAACCCUACGGGUUCCGUGGGUAGCUAAUGCAACCUUGAACUUAGCUUGUGUGCGGCGAUUUUUUCUUUGCAGGGGGUGCUCUCUGUUUCCAAAGGAAGAAUGUUCUCUAUUUCCAAAGGAAGAAGACAGUGAACAACAAUGACGAACGACAUCGUUUUGGACUGGAAAUGGCCAUUUCUCAACUUGGUCCUCCAAGUUUCAACAUUUUUUAAUCGGGCCCUGGAUAAAAUUUCGGUGCCUUUUACAAAAAGGUCCCUGGAACUUAAUCACUUGUAAUUUUAUCCUUAAUAAACUCAGAAAUUUAAUAUUUGUUCAACUAUAUCCCUGGUUUCAUUAAUUAAACUAAUUCUAAGCUUAAUUAAGUCCUCAAACUUAUCUAUUCUUUAAUCAAACUCCUGAUAUCAUUAAUUAAACCCAAACAAAGUUUUAUUGAACUCCAUACCAGCUAAUUUUUUUAAUUUCUUUAAAAAUUAACAUCCAAAAUCAUAAAUUAAACAUGAUUAAACCCAUCAGAGCUUUUCAUUUAUGUUGUCUUGAUCAAAAUCUUAAUUUUUCAUUCAUUUUUUUAUUUUGAAUUUUAUAUUGUUUAAAAUUGAGUUAUAAUAAGUGGACCGAGCUUUUUGGUCUCAAAUCCAUAAAUUUGUUACCAAUUGACCUACCUCAUUUGGCAAGUGUGAGAUCUAUCUUCAGUGAAAUCUACUAGGUGAAUCAAAAUCCAUAAAAAAGAAGAAAAAAAAACAGAGAAAGAGUGAUAAAACUAACUACCACACCAAACAAAUAAAGAGGUUAUGCAGGCAGUCUUUCCUAAUCAAAUAAUAAAACUGAAAACAACACAAGGAGGUUUGUGGAGACAGCUACCUGCUGAUAUGCUUGUUUGCUUGCGUGUCUGGUUUUGUAAUUACACUGUUAUGAGCAGUUAACUCCUCUUUGGUGGCUUCGAAGGAAUUGAUAAUUUUAGACUUUAUUUUGAUUUAUCAUCCUCCUACAUAUUUCUCUCUUUGUUGGCUUCGAAGAAAGAGUUCAGCUUGGCCUGUAGCGGGUGCGGUAUAAUAUAUCCUCCUAAAUAAACUCUUUUUUUUUUUUUUUAAAGCGAUUUAAAUGGCCUAAACUGGAUGGGUAUUGGAUUUCAAUCUACAUUUUCAUAAAGCGUAGUUGGUCAAACAUUUGUAAUCGGUCGCUGCAAGAAAGACCCGUGAUUCGUUAAAAGUCCGAAAUAUCUUCCUAUUGAUGCACCGACGGCUUUCAAACUUGGCAUGUUCCUAGCUAGCAUAACAUAAAGAAGGAGAAGCAAAAUCUACACAAGUAUCAUUUGUAACUUGUAUAAAUGAUUGAAAAUUGAUCUUACAUAUUUCGCUACUGAAAUUACAUUAAUUCAAGUAUCCAUGUUAACAUCUAUGGCUUGAAUAAUACACAAAACAGAAACUACAGAAGGGUUCCACCCGAGACAUACUCGGUGCAGGCCAACGCAACCAAACCCAACAUCGCAAAUCUACCGUUCCACAUCUCAGCAUCAGAUGUCAUUACGCCAUCUGACUUGGACUCCGCGCUGACCCCUUUGAAUAGUGGGAUCAAAGACGCGACAGAGAGAAGAAUACUUGUUCCGACGAACCACGAGACUCCACCGUUAGAUAUCUGAGAGAAAAGGUCUUGGCCCUUGGACAGUUCCACUGCCAUUGCAGCGACAAAGCCUAUCAUGGCAAGCCUGCCAUUGAUCCUCUCUGGUGCGGGUCCGCUAAAUGCCAACACAUCAGUGAAUUUUGUGCUGACCUGUUAAUCAUCAUCACGCGUGCGUUUACAUUAGAAGUGUAAGCAUAAAUGCAAUAAAAAAGUCCAUGCUCUACUUAAAUUGUUAAAAUUAAACAUUUCCGAAAUAACUCAUGCCGUAUAAUUAAUCCUGUACCUUUGGCUUAGGAGGAGGACUUGGCUCUGCUGACAUAUUCUGGUCAUCCUGCAAAUUGAAUCAAAUGUUAACACAAUCCUAUGAACCAUCACCUAAACUACACACAAAGGAAGUCGAAAUAGAAUCCAAACUCACCAGCUCGGCCUUGCACUGCACCCGUUUGCUAGCACUGCCACGUAGUGGCACAUACGUAGCAGAAAACAAGUUGCUCACUCGAGACCGGUUUUUCACCAGACUACUGGCUACUGGAGAAGCAAGGACGGUCUGCAUUACUGUUGACGUGGCCAUCACUUAGAACAAUGUUUAUCACUCGAUAUGUGAUUAAGAAACUUAAUCAAUAUCUAAACUGUGAAAGCUAUUCUAAUGCUAGAGGCAACGUUCAGUAAGCGAUAUCACUACCAGUGAGUUGAAGCUCGAGCUAUUUGCUUUGUAUCUGAUAGUGGUUUGGUAGGCUGUUAUAUAGCCGAUGGGGCAAGAGAGGAGAGGGCAUUUUGCUUCCACGUCAUCCAUAUCUAAUGAAAAGGCCGAUUGGAUCACGUGGCUUCGGCUGUCUUCACAUGGUCAAGUGGGUUACGUGGACUCCUCACAGUCACUAGUGGAUCCCCACCCCAUUUAAGAAGCUGAGGCCAAUGUUGUUCUAGGUUUUUCAGCUGAGCAGCGACCACGGCAUAGUAACCGAACUGGACUCAGCCACGAUUUUACCGCAUUAAUUUGACACGUUGAAUCACAUAACCUGACAAACGAAUAUUAGUAUAUACUAAAAAACUUUUGAUGUUUUCUCCAGGGAGGUAUUCUUAUAAAUUUUAUAAUUACUAAAACUUAUUUGAUUAUUAAUUUUAGUGUUUUAAAAGAUUGUUGAAGAUGCAUGUAAACUGACGGGACAUUGAUGAUUAUCAAGAUAAAAAAUUUAUGAUGCUUAUGAGUUUUUUCUUCUUUUUAUAUUUGUAUUUUAUGUAAUAAAUACUCCAUAAUUAAAUUUUUUAGUUUUAUAAAAUUUUAAGCAAAAGUAAGUGUGUGAUUUAUAGAACAAUGCAAAUAUUUUAUGUAAAAGUAUUUAUUAAAGAGAAAAUUAUCCAAAGUAUCAUAUAGUUUACUUAAUUUUACAUUUUGCUUUAAUUAUUUUAUGAAUUACUGAAAUUAUUCUUGAUCAACCAAAAAUUUUAAAUCGUUUGAAAUGAUCAAAUUAACCUCUUUGUGUUGUAAUCUCUUGAAAAUUUGUUUCUUGUUGUGUGCUAUUAUAACUAUGGUAAAAAGAUGUCGUAGAUCAAGACAUGGUCAAAGGAGUAAGGAGGAUCCUUCUUAGGAGAGAAACAUCGAGAAGCUUGUCAUAAAGGACAUUCAAAGGUAAACACAAAGUUGACUCAUGGGUUAGAGGAUAAGGAUUUAUAAAACCAAAAUUAAAAGAGUGAUCAUGUGUCCCUAGCCAAUACUGAAAACCAAAGACAUGAUCAUGAAAUAUAACCUCUUGAUUAGGAAGAGAUCAACUUUAGGAAUUUUUGGUUUCGCGUUAAAAUCCAUGAAUUCGGAGAAACUUUAUAAGUAAAGGAUUUCAUAGAAUAGAUAAAUAGGGUAAAAUGAAUUUUUUAGUAUAAAGAGGUUCUCGAAUAUAUGUGAGGGAAGUGUUGAUUGUGAUUAGAAUAAAAGGUAGAGUUUCUACUUAGUGAGAUCAGUUAAAAGGGAAAAGAGAGAGACAAGAAAAGCUGAGAAUAAUGAUUUAGAAAAGAUGAAGAAGAAACUAAGAGAACACUUUCUUCCAUUUGGCUAUGCCCAAACCCUGUACUUAAGGUUUCACAUGUUAAAAUAAAUAGACAUUAGGUCAUGGUUUUGGUUUUGUUUUCGGGAUUUGUUGUUAUAGUUGUGGUGAGUUAAGGUAUCAAGCUAGCUAAUGAGAAUGCAUUAAAAAACUAGAAAGUUACAUAGGAAAAAAUAUGUUGAUAGAGGAACUUGCAAAUAACAUGGAUGAUCUUAUUUAAAAUAACUCUGACAACAAUGAAGAGACUUUAAAUGGGAAUAGUAGUACUAUACUAGUUGUCUGAAAAAUCAUUUUGUCACCCGAUGGUGAUUAAGGAUAGAAUUGGUUGUGUUCUAAAAUCUUCCAAAUAAUAUGUACUGUUAACAACAAGAUAUGCAAUCUAAUCAUCGUCGGUGGUAGUUAUGAGAAUAUAGAGUUAGUUGAAGUGUUAGAAAAAUUACAGCUUAACAUAGAAAAACUCUUCAUCCCUUACAAACUAAUGUCGCGCCCCCCCCCCCAAAAAAAAUAUUCAAAUACACAUCCAUUGCGGGUUCGACUGGCGAAAAUUUGUUUAUUUUUAUUUUUAUUUGAUUCUUUGGAGUCGCCACCUAGUAUUUUGGUCACUAGGAACCUAACUGGUCUCAGAGAUCGGGUACGGAGACUGGUUGCGUAAAGGGAAGGUAUUAGCACCCCAAAUACGCCUUACCUAAGGUAAGCUGCAUUGUUUUAAAUGUCUGAUAAAAAAAAAACUAAAGUGUUAUUGUGUUUUUCUAGUUGUUGGUCUGUCUAUGGUUCAAGAAAAAUCCCCCUCAGUAAGGAGGUCUUUAUCUUAUCGGGUAAAAAUCCUAACCGUUCUAACGUCCAUACCAAAAUUUUACUAAUAAUAUUUAGGAAUACGUUUUACGUAUAAAUUCGUAAUCCCAAAUAUUAAAAGAAAACAAAAAGAAUGUUUUAGAAUUUUUGAAAUAUUGGCCUAGUUCUCAUGGCUUGAAUAAAUUGGUUAUUAAAGCCAAAAUGCAUGUUAAUACAUAUAUUGUUUUUUUGAAAAAAAAAAAUAAUUUGUUGUAUGAAAAUAUGAUGUUAUAAUAUUUAUGUAUAUAUAUUGGAGAGACUAGGCCGUAUUUAAAAACAAAAACAAUUUUUGAAAAAUAUUAUUUUGUUAUGCUUUGACGAAAAUCAUAAUGGGUAUAUUUUAAAAAUACUGAGCUUGUAUCCUUACGGUAUAAAAAUACAACCCAAUAUUAAUCUAUUUUGAUAAAAUAUGCAGAAAAAUCAACAACAGUUUUUAGGAAAUUUUUAGAAAAUUUUUUGAAAAGCAAAACAUUUUUUAUUCUGAAAAUCUUUGAUGUUUUGACGAAAAAACCGGGUAUUUUAAUACUGGUUUUGUAUCUUUACAAAAAAAAAUACAAACCAGAAGUAAAACAUUUUUGAAAAAAUAUGCAGAAAAAAUCAACAAUAUUUUUUUUUAGAUUUUUUUUUUUUUGUUUUUUAUACAUUAAAUACAUUUUUUAUAUAUUAUAUUAUAUAUUUUAUAUAUUAAAAGGGCUGGGCCGGCCCAAACUAAACUGGGCCGGACCCAGCCCAACAGUCGUUGGGCCGAACUCGGCCCAACAGGUACUGGGCCGAACUCGGCCCAGGUACUGGGAACUCGGCCCAAAUAAUUAACCUCGGUCUGGGCCGGACCCGGCCCAGACCGCCGGACUGGGCCAGAUCUCUCUGGCCCGGUCCACAUAGUUCUGGGCCAGACAAAGUCUGGCCCAGAGGAAAUAAAAAACGCAGCGGGGGGGAUUAUUUCCCCCCCGUCCCCAAGAACGAUGCAGGAAGAAAAAAAAAAAAAAAAAUGUGCAGGGGGAGGGACGCGUACCUGGCACGGCGGAGACGGCGGCUUGCUGGCGGUGCUGCUGCGGAGACGGUGGCAGCUUGGCUUACGGACGGCGGGUCAGGCGGUUUUCUCUCUCUCUCCUCCCUUCGGGUCUCUCUCUCUCUUUUUCUUCUUCUCUCCUCUCGGCCUCUCUCUAUUUAUAAGCAAAAAGGAAACGGUUAGUGCGCCUUCAAUCACGCAACGGCUGGUCGGCCACUCUUGCUUUCGGUGGUGGUGGUGGGGCGAGGAGAGAGAGAGAGGCGGGAAGUUUUGAAAAAAAGAAAAAAUGGUUUCGUCUCUGUUUCCGCGGGGGGAAAGGAAGAAGACGAACAGUGUCGUUCAAAACGACACCGUUCUGUCUUCUUCUUUUUUUUUUUUUUUUUAUUAUAUAUAUAUAUGAAACGGCGUCGUUUUGGAUAAAACGCGCCGUUUCAUUUAAACGGGUCAAACUUCAAAACAGUCCUCCAAAUCGGUCCCUGCCCCUCUUGUUGGCCGCCUUUUUCAUUUUGGUCCUUGGCAUCUGAUUUAUGCAAUUUAGCCCUCAAUUGAUUAAUAAACUUUCAAUUUCUUCAAUUAGGCCCCUGAAACGAAAAAUUAGCAGCCCCUCCAUUUACGCGCCUCUUCCAAUUUGGUCCCUGGUUUCGGAUUUUCACAAUUAAGUCCCUAAUUGGCCCUUAAACUUCAAUUUUUAUGCAAUUGAGCCCUGAUUUGACCCAAUAAAUUCCUAAAAAAAUAUUUUGGCCCCAGAACUUAAAUUUCUCCAAAUUAAAGCCCAAAUUGACUUAAAAAUUAAUUUUUCUUGCAAUCAAAUCUUCUAUAAAUUCAAAUAAAAAUCCGAUUAAGUCCAUAAAAAUCCAAUUAAGCCCAUAAAAAUCCAAUUAAGCCCAUAAAAAUCCAAAUUUGGGCUUUUCUCCCUAAAAUUCCAAUUUUUCUUCUCAAUAGGGCUUUCAUCCUUCAAGAAUAUACUGUCAAAAAUUCAAUCCUUGUAUUUUUAAAGUCCUUGACCAAUUUUCUGACUGUUUUCCGGGCGCUUCUGCCUCCGGUUAUUUUUCUAACCUCUUUUGGCUAUUUAUUUUAUUUUUUAGGGGGACCCAAAAAUGGGUUACAACAACUAAAAUAGCUAAAUGAAAACAACAAGGUUGUCGCACGUCACCCUCGCGCGGCUUCCGAUGGCGAUUUUUCUCGUUAUGCGUUUUUGCUUGAUUCAGUUCUUUAGAGUCGUCACCUAGUAUUUUGGUCACUAGGAACCCUAACUGGUCUUUCAGAGAUUCUAAGGCAAGGAACUGGUUGCGUAAAGAGAAGGUAUUAGCAUCCCUAAUACGCUCUACCUAAGGUAAGCUGCAUGGUGUUUGGUUUAUCUUAUAAUUGCUAUGGUGUUGGUGUUUUCUAAUCCCAUCAGUUUUUCUAUGAUAGGUUUCCUAUGAUGAACAAACUUGGACUCAAAGUCUAAAAAAAAAAAGAACCCUUGGUCAAUGUGGAUCACACCUUUAGAUAUGUCUACAAAGUACCAAGGAGAACCAAUGCAGAUCUCUUGAAAUCUGUGUUUGAUUCAAGUUAAAUUUAUUAAGAUAGAAAUCCAAGGAGAUUUCAUGUGCUGUAAAAGCUCAUCUUUCCCUUAGUAUUUCAAGAGUUUGCGACUCGUAAAUCGCAAGAAUGAAGGACAAAUAUUUAGAAAUCUAAGGAAAUUCAAAGCGCUUUAAAAGCCUCCUUUUGCCUUAGUAUUUCAUACUUUCACGGCUCGUAAACCGUGGAGUCAAAAUUUAAAAUUUUGAAAUGUCCUCAAUUAUAAUCAAGGCUUCUCUCAAAGAUGUAUGCGGAUUUAUUACUCCCAAUAAUAUUUUGGAUAUUCAUCAUUUAAAGAUUUCUUUAUCCAAAUAUUAGCGGUGAAUAAUAAAUGAAUUCCCUCCAAAAUAAGAUUUUUAUAGUUUUUGGAAUAUUGGCCAAUACCCUUUGGAGUUUUACAAACAUGUUGUAAAAUCCAGAAAUACAAGAAAACAAAUUUUUUGAUGUUUAAGAAAUCCAUGCAAAAACACAUUCUUAAAACUUCCAAUAUUUUUUGUAUAUAAAAAAAUAUUCAAAACAUGUUAGGAUAUUGGCCGUAUGCAACAAAAAAAAAAACAUUUUUUAUAUUUUCUUUGCAAAAUACACAUAGUUAAUCGCAAUUAAAAUCCAAAAACCACAUAUUAAUCAAAUUCUUAAGGCUUUAAUAAAUCAACUAUUAAAUCCCAGAAUAUAUAUAGAAACAUGUUUUUAUAUUUUCCCGAGAAAUACAACAUAAUUUUAUUUGUCCUUCAGAUACCAUAUGUCAAAUUAGAAACUUAAUUCAUUUUUUUGUCUUUUAUUGAUUUUUAUCAUUCAAAUAACAUAAAUAAAAAUACAAACACACACACAUUUUUUAUUAUUAUUUUUCUUAUACAUAUUUUACGUGUAAAACAAAUAACAAAAUUUCAAAAAAAUCAAAUACAAUUUAAUUAUUACCAAAUAAACCCCAAAAACUCCAGGAAUUGGUGGGAACAUCUUCUAGGAUCCGCCGGAAUAGUGACGGAAGGUUUCUGGGCUCGGGAACAGUGGCGCACGUUUCUCCACUAGCGGAUCCCAGAAAAAUAAUGUUAACAUAUAAGCUACUGAAAUUAUAAGUUAUAUAGAUGAUUGAAAAUUGAUCUUAUAUAAUUUGCUACUGAAAUUACAUUGAUUCAAGUAUCCAUGUUAACAUAUAAGCUUGAAUAAUACACAAAAACAGGAACUACAGAAGCGUUCUACCCGAGACAAACUCGGUGAAGGCCAGCGCAACCAAACCCAACAUCGCAAAUCUACCGUUCCACAUCUCAGCAUCAGAUGUCAUGACGCCCUCUGACUUGGAUUCCACGCUGACCCCUUUGAAUAGUGGGAUCAAAGACGCGACAGAGAGAAGAAUACUUGUUCCGACGAACCACGAGACUCCACCGUUAGAUAUCUGAGAGAAAAGGUCUUGGCCCUUGGACAGUUCCACUGCCAUUGCAGCGACAAAGCCUAUCAUGGCAAGCCUGCCAUUGAUCCUCUCUGGUGCGGGUCCGCUAAAUGCCAACACAUCAGCGAAUUUUGUGCUGACCUGUUAAUCAUCAUCACGCGUGCGUUUACAUUAGAAGUGUAAGCAUAAAUGCAAUCAAAAAGUCCUUGCUCUAAUUAAAUUGUUAAAAUUAAACAUUUCCGAAAUAACUCAUGACAUAUAAUUAGUCCUGUACCUUUGGCUUAGGAGGAGGACUUGGCUCUGCUGGCAUCUUCUGGUCAUCCUGCAAAUUGAAUCAAAUGUUAACACAAUCCUAAGAACCAUCACCUAAACUAUACACAAAGGAAGUCGAAAUAGAAUCCAAACUCACCAGCUCGGCCUUGCACUGCACCCGUUUGCUAGCACUGCCACGUAGUGGCACAUACGUAGCAGAAAACAAGUUGCUCACUCGAGACCGGUUUUUCAGCAGACUACUGGCUACCGGAGUUGCAAGGAC